AGUUCGAUUAUGGCUCAGAUUGAACGCUGGCGGGAUGCUUUACACAUGCAAGUCGAACGGCAGCACGGACUUGGUCUGGUGGCGAGCGGCGAACGGGUGAGUAAUGUAUCGGAACGUGCCUAGUAGCGGGGGAUAACUACGCGAAAGCGUAGCUAAUACCGCAUACCGCUCCUCGGGGAAAGCGGGGGACCUUCGGGCCUCGCACUAUUAGAGCGGCCGAUAUCGGAUUAGCUAGUUGGUGGGUAACGGCUCACCAAGGCGACGAUCCGUGGCUGGUUUGAGAGGACGACCAGCCACACUGGGACUGAGACACGGCCCAGACCCUACGGGAGGCAGCAGUGGGGAAUUUUGACAAUGGGGAAACCCCGAUCCAGCCAUCCCGCGUGUGUGAUGAAGGCCUUCGGGUUGUAAAGCACUUUUGGUGUGAAAAGAAACGGCACGGGAUAAUACCCCGUGCAACUGACGGUACCUGCAGAAUAAUACCUUAUAAUCCGGGCCAGCAGCCGCGGUAAUACGUAGGGUGCAAGCGUUAAUCGAAUUACUGGGCGUAAAAGCGUGCGCAGCAGGCGGUUCGGAAAGAAAGAUGUGAAAUCCCAGAGCUUAACUUUGGAACUGCAUUUUUAACUACCGAGCUAGAGGUGUCAGAGGGAGGUGGAAUUCGGCGUGUAGCAGUGAAAUGCGUAGAUAUGCGGAGGAACACCGAUGGCGAAGGCAGCCUCCUGGGAUAACACUGACGCUUCAUGCACGAAAGCGGGAGCAAACAGGAUUAGAUACCCUGGUAGUCCACGCUCCUAAACGAUGUCAACUAGCUGUUGGGGCCUUCGGGCCUGGUAGCGCAGCUAACGCGUGAAGUUGACCGCCUGGGGAGUACGGUCGUGAUUAAACCCAAAGGAAUUGACGGGGACCUCGCACAAGCGGUGGAUGAUGUGGAUUAAUUCGAUGCAACGCGAAAACCUUACCUACCCUUGACAUGUCUGGAAUCCCGAAGAGAUUUGGGAGUGCUCGCAAGAGAACCGGAACACAGGUGCUGCAUGGCUGUCGUCAGCUCGUGUCGUGAGAUGUUGGGUUAAGUCCCAACGAGCGCAACCCUUGUCAGCGAAGUUGCUACGAAAGGGCACUCUUAAUGAGACUGCCGGUGACAAACCGGAGGAAGGUGGGGAUGACGUCAAGUCCUCAUGGCCCUUAUGGGUAGGGCUUCACACGUCAUACAAUGGUCGGGACAGAGGGUCGCCAACCUGCGAGGGGGAGCCAAUCCCAGAAACCCGAUCGUAGUCCGGAUCGCAGUCUGCAACUCGACUGCGUAGUCGGAAUCGCUAGUAAUCGCGGAUCAGCAUGUCGCGGUGAAUACGUUCCUGGUCUUGUACACACCGCCCGUCACACCAUGGAGGGUUUUACCAGAAGUAGUUAGCUCAACCGUAAGGAGGGCGAUUACCACGGUAGGAUUCAUGACUUCGGGGUGAAGUCGUAACAAGGUAA
rnacentral:rRNA from 1 species